rnacentral:rRNA from 1 species
UACGGGGGGGGGCAAGCGUUGUUCGGAAUUACUGGGCGUAAAGGGCUCGUAGUCGGCCAACUAAGUCGGAUGUGAAAUCCCCAGGCUCAACCUGGGAACUGCAUCCGAUACUGGAUGGCUUGAAUCCGGGAGAGGGAUGCAGAAUUCCAGGUGUAGCGGUGAAAUGCGUAGAUAUCUGGAGGAAUACCGGUGGCGAAGGCGGCAUCCUGGACCGGCAUUGACGCUGAGGAGCGAAAGCUAGGGGAGCAAACGGG